AACACGAGAGCGGCAGAGCUACGAACAAGGGCGAGGUUACUGGCUGAAGCUUGAUAAGGAUUAAUCUUCAUUAAUAUCCCGUCUGUGAGAAGAGUAUCGGUAUCCUGUUCAGAGCACAUGCCAAUGUACUGACGUGUGGGACGGAUCGUUCCAAGUGACUAAUAAGAGGCGUUCCGGUGCUCCCAGGCAGCCAAGAGGAGGAGGAUGGAGCAGAGGGUCACACCCUUGCUUCCAAGGGGGAGGAGAUGUCUCUUCCUAGGAAGCCAGACUUGACUGACAGGGAUUCAUGGCCUAUGGCCUGUGACAUGACUGACAAUGACCCAACCAUGAACCAUCCAAAUGACCAUCCAAUGAACCAUCCUUUCAAUAUCAAUGAUAGCAUGAACAAUACCAUAAGCUCUGCCAACAAUACCAUGACCUCUGCCAAAGAUUCUAUGAAUGACUCUGCUGAAAACUCUGCAAAUCCUACCAACAAUGAAUAUGUAAAUACACUACUCACAAAAAGUCAGGGAUAUUUGUCUUUUGGGUGAAAUUUAUGGAAAAUGUACAAAGUCCAUGCUACAGUGAUAUUAUAUCAUGAAAGUAGGGCAUUUAAGUAAAAGCAUGCAAUGGUGAUUUCCUCAUCUCAAACAAUUUAUUGAAACAAAAGCCCACAACAGUGGUGGGUAUACCACAACAAAAAAUGUCAAUGUCUCAAUAACUUGUCAUGUGCCCUUGAGCAUCAAUUACAGCUUGACAACGACGUCUCAUGCUGUUCACAAGUCAACUUAUUGUCUGCUGA